rnacentral:rRNA from 1 species
UUUGAUGGUAGUGUAUUGGACUACCAUGUCUAUCACGGGUAACGGAGAAUUAGGGUUCGAUUCCGGAGAGGGAGCCUGAGAAAUGGCUACCACAGCUACGGUAGGCAGCAGGUGCGUAAAUUACCCAAUCCAAAUUCUGGAAGGUAGUUACAGGAAAUUUGUUGCGCGUGAUUUAUCACCGACACAACCGAACACAUUUAAGCAUUGUGUGUUUAAUUGGAGGGCAAGUUUGGUGCCAGCAGCCGCGGUAAUUCCAACUCCAAGAGUGUAUCUUAAUGUUGCUGCAGUUAAAAAGCUCGUAGUUGAAUUUCUGAAGAUGGGAGAAGCUCACGCGGAUCCCGUCUUCAUCCGCUCGGAGAGGCUAGGGAACUUUAAUCGGAACUCUAGAUGACCCAGCAUUUUACUUUGAAGAAAUUAGAGUGUUCAUGGCAGGCCUUGCUUGCAUAAAUUAGCAUGGAAUAAUGGAAUAAGACUAGUCUGUUUUAUUGGUUGACAGAAUAGUAAUGAUUAACAGGGACAGUCGGGGGCAUUCGUACUCAGUGGCCAGAGGUGAAAUUCUUAGACUCGCUGAAGACGCACUAAUGCGAAAGCAUUUGCCAAGGAUGUUUUCAUUAAUCAAGAACGAAAGUUAGGGGAUCAAAGACGAUUAGAUACCGU